rnacentral:rRNA from 1 species
UACGUAGGGCGCAAGCGUUAUCCGGAAUUAUUGGGCGUAAAGAGCUCGUAGGCGGUUUGUCACGUCUGCUGUGAAAACUGGAGGCUCAACCUCCAGCCUGCAGUGGGUACGGGCAGACUAGAGUGCGGUAGGGGAGAUUGGAAUUCCUGGUGUAGCGGUGGAAUGCGCAGAUAUCAGGAGGGACACCGAUGGCGAAGGCAGAUCUCUGGGCCGUAACUGACGCUGAGGAGCGAAAGCAUGGGGAGCGAACAGG